CCCCGAUCUAGCGCGGACUACCGCGCCCGCCCUCCGUUGGCGGCGCAGCGCCCCAGCCUGUCGUUCGGACGACGGGCGGGGGC
rnacentral:tRNA from 1 species